CGUAGGUGGCAAGCGUUGUCCGGAAUUAUUGGGCGUAAAGCGCGCGCAGGCGGUUCCUUAAGUCUGAUGUGAAAGCCCACGGCUCAACCGUGGAGGGUCAUUGGAAACUGGGGAACUUGAGUGCAGAAGAGGAAAGCGGAAUUCCACGUGUAGCGGUGAAAUGCGUAGAGAUGUGGAGGAACACCAGUGGCGAAGGCGGCUUUCUGGUCUGUAACUGACGCUGAGGCGCGAAAGCGUGGGGAGCAAACAGGAUU
rnacentral:rRNA from 1 species